UCUUUCCUUUCCCCUUUUCUUCUUUCUUUUCUUUCUUUUCUUCUAUCUCCUUCUCAUUUGGCUUCACUUUAAGGCAAACUAGAAUCGAUAUCGAAGAGAUUAUUGCGAGCAAACACUCCAAACAAAUUUGCAUAGGAAAACAAAGAUGAUUAGAAAUUUUUCCUCUAAAAUGUAAAAGAGAAGAGAGAGAGAGAGA
rnacentral:ribozyme from 13 species